rnacentral:rRNA from 1 species
GCUGGCGGCGUGCCUAAUACAUGCAAGUCGAGCGAAUCUUUGGGAGCUUGCUCCCAUCGGUUAGCGGCGGACGGGUGAGUAACACGUGGGCAACCUGCCUGUAAGACUGGGAUAACUUCGGGAAACCGGAGCUAAUACCGGAUAAUCCUUUCCCUCUCAUGAGGGAAAGCUGAAAGACGGUUUCGGCUGUCACUUACAGAUGGGCCCGCGGCGCAUUAGCUAGUUGGUGAGGUAACGGCUCACCAAGGCGACGAUGCGUAGCCGACCUGAGAGGGUGAUCGGCCACACUGGGACUGAGACACGGCCCAGACUCCUACGGGAGGCAGCAGUAGGGAAUCUUCCGCAAUGGACGAAAGUCUGACGGAGCAACGCCGCGUGAGCGAUGAAGGCCUUCGGGUCGUAAAGCUCUGUUGUUAGGGAAGAACAAGUACCGGAGUAACUGCCGGUACCUUGACGGUACCUAACCAGAAAGCCACGGCUAACUACGUGCCAGCAGCCGCGGUAAUAC